rnacentral:rRNA from 1 species
AUACCAGCUCUCCGAGUGGUGUGGAUGUUUAUUGGGCCUAAAGCAUCCGUAGCUGGCUAAGUUGGUCCUUUGUUAAAUCCACCGAAUUAAUCGUUGGAUUGCGGGGGAUACUGCUUGGCUAGGGGACGAGAGAGGCAGACGGUAUUUCCGGGGUAGGGGUGAAAUCCUAUAAUCCCGGGAAGACCACCAGUGGCGAAGUCUACCUACUAGACCGCGCCCGACGGUGAGGGAUGAAAGCUGGGGGAGCGAACCGGAUUAGAUUCCCGGGGAGUCCCAGCUGUAAACGAUGCAGGCUAGGUGUUUGGACGGCCACGUGCCGUUCUAGUGCCGCAGGGAAGAUGUUAAGGCUGCCGCCUGGGGAGUUCGAUAGCAAGAUUGAGACUGAAAGGAAUUGCCGGGG